UCAGGAUCAUUUCUUCCUUACCGAUUAGGUCAUCUCAAAACCUAAUCAGACUUGAUCUGAUUGAAUCUAAUUCAAUCAAACUUGAUCCAGACUUUAAUGCUCAAUUAAAUUAAGCUAAUUAGGGAUCUAAUCAUUAAUUAAUCUUUCAUUAAUGAUAGAGUCCAAGUCUAGUAGGACUCUUCCCUAGAGUCCCCGUCCAGUGGGACUUUCCAGCAGAGUCCCAGUCCAGUGAAACUUUUCACCAGAGUCUUCAUUCACUGGGACUUCUUAGAUUAGCCAUAUGAUCGAAGAGAAAUUUUUAAUAUGUGUGACCCGAUAGGUUCGAACCUAAGCCAGUAGCAUAGAAUCCGAGUUCUGUACCAAUCGAAGUAACCACCUAGCAAUGGUACCCUACGUCUGCAUAGGCUGAAUGCAUGCAAAGCAAUACUCAAGAAUCUAUUUGGAUAUAGUUACCGUAUAAUUCAUCCCUUUGACCUUUGAUGCUGGUUGACUUAGAGUUUAAAUUAUCAACUCUUAAUAGUACAUCCAUUAUGUGUCUUAACCUGAUAAAUCCUGUGACUCCUCACAUGGAUUGCCCUGGCCAAGAUCUUACUAAAUUUAAACACAAAAUAUUCUCUCCAAUCUCUUGGAGUGGUCAAUUUUAUCUUGACUCACACACCGACUUCACAAGUACUUGACUGUAUCCAAAAAUCUUUCAAUCUUGAAUUAGACAUUCAGGUAGUCCGACAUCAAAGCACAGUGAGUUACUUACAAGUCAUCAUGGUGA
rnacentral:lncRNA from 1 species